rnacentral:rRNA from 1 species
UACGGAGGGAGCUAGCGUUGUUCGGAAUUACUGGGCGUAAAGCGCACGUAGGCGGCUUUGUAAGUUAGAGGUGAAAGCCCGGGGCUCAACUCCGGAACUGCCUUUAAGACUGCAUCGCUUGAAUCCGGGAGAGGUGAGUGGAAUUCCGAGUGUAGAGGUGAAAUUCGUAGAUAUUCGGAAGAACAUCAGUGGCGAAGGCGGCUCACUGGACCGGUAUUGACGCUGAGGUGCGAAAGCGUGGGGAGCAAACAGG